ACGGUAGCACAGAGGAGCUUGCUCCUUGGGUGACGAGUGGCGGACGGGUGAGUAAUGUCUGGGAAACUGCCCGAUGGAGGGGGAUAACUACUGGAAACGGUAGCUAAUACCGCAUAACGUCGCAAGACCAAAGAGGGGGACCUUCGGGCCUCUUGCCAUCGGAUGUGCCCAGAUGGGAUUAGCUAGUAGGUGGGGUAACGGCUCACCUAGGCGACGAUCCCUAGCUGGUCUGAGAGGAUGACCAGCCACACUGGAACUGAGACACGGUCCAGACUCCUACGGGAGGCAGCAGUGGGGAAUAUUGCACAAUGGGCGCAAGCCUGAUGCAGCCAUGCCGCGUGUAUGAAGAAGGCCUUCGGGUUGUAAAGUACUUUCAGCGAGGAGGAAGGCGUUGUGGUUAAUAACCGCAACGAUUGACGUUACUCGCAGAAGAAGCACCGGCUAACUCCGUGCCAGCAGCCGCGGUAAUACAGAGGGUGCAAGCGUUAAUCGGAAUUACUGGGCGUAAAGCGCACGCAGGCGGUCUGUCAAGUCAGAUGUGAAAUCCCCGGGCUCAACCUGAGAACUGCAUCCGAAACUGGCAGGCUAGAGUCUUGUAGAGGGGGGUAGAAUUCCAGGUGUAGCGGUGAAAUGCGUAGAGAUCUGGAGGAAUACCUGUGGCGAGGGCGGCUCCUCUGGACAAAGACUGGCGCUCAUGUGCGAAAGCGUGGAGAGCAAACAGAUUAGAUACCCUGGUAGUCCAC
rnacentral:rRNA from 1 species